rnacentral:rRNA from 1 species
CCUACGGGUGGCAGCAGUGGGGAAUAUUGCACAAUGGGGGAAACCCUGAUGCAGCCAUGCCGCGUGUAUGAAGAAGGCCUUCGGGUUGUAAAGUACUUUCAGUUGUGAGGAAGGCGUUGGAGUUAAUAGCUUCAGCGCUUGACGUUAGCAACAGAAGAAGCACCGGCUAACUCCGUGCCAGCAGCCGCGGUAAUACGGAGGGUGCGAGCGUUAAUCGGAAUUACUGGGCGUAAAGCGCAUGCAGGCGGUCUGUUAAGCAAGAUGUGAAAGCCCGGGGCUCAACCUCGGAACAGCAUUUUGAACUGGCAGACUAGAGUCUUGUAGAGGGGGGUAGAAUUUCAGGUGUAGCGGUGAAAUGCGUAGAGAUCUGAAGGAAUACCGGUGGCGAAGGCGGCCCCCUGGACAAAGACUGACGCUCAGAUGCGAAAGCGUGGGGAGCA